AAAAUCCCACAUUCUAGAACAUUCUCCGAUCUUUGGUGAUUCAGCUUAAAUGAUAGAAUUCAGACGUCUUCAUAAAGCUAGGUUACCAAAGCUCGGCGUUCCAGUUCGACCAUUUUAAUCCUU
rnacentral:precursor_RNA from 14 species